UACGUAGGGCGCAAGCGUUAUCCGGAAUUAUUGGGCGUAAAGAGCUCGUAGGCGGUUUGUCGCGUCUGCCGUGAAAAGUCCGGGGGCUCAACUCCGGAUCUGCGGUGGGUACGGGCAGACUAGAGUGAUGUAGGGGAGACUGGAAUUCCUGGUGUAGCGGUGAAAUGCGCAGAUAUCAGGAGGAACACCGAUGGCGAAGGCAGGUCUCUGGGCAUUAACUGACGCUGAGGCGCGAAGGCGUGGGGAGCGAACGGG
rnacentral:rRNA from 1 species